rnacentral:tRNA from 1 species
GGGUAUAGCUCAGCGGUAGAGCACCUCCCUAGCAUAAGUAAGGCCCUCAGUUCAAUCCUCAGUGCCACA